rnacentral:rRNA from 1 species
UACGGGGGGGGCAAGCGUUGUUCGGAAUUACUGGGCGUAAAGGGCUCGUAGGUGGCCAACUAAGUCAGACGUGAAAUCCCUCGGCUUAACCGGGGAACUGCGUCUGAUACUGGAUGGCUUGAGUUUGGGAGAGGGACGCGGAAUUCCAGGUGUAGCGGUGAAAUGCGUAGAUAUCUGGAGGAACACCGGUGGCGAAGGCGGCGUCCUGGACCAACACUGACGCUGAUGAGCGAAAGCCAGGGGAGCAAACGGG